rfam:Bombyx mori DNA, contig: Bm_scaf78_contig32365, strain: p50T/Dazao, build 2, whole genome shotgun sequence.
UUAACUCAAAUUUGUAUGGAAUUGGAACGCUUGCCGUUAGGGGCGCUGUUCCAACUGCAUACAAAUUCGAUAUA